CUUUAAAGCGAAAAUUUUAUGAAAUUAACCACAAAACUUUUAAGGAUUGCUUUGUCAUGACUCGUUCGUAUUGUACAAUCUAAAAAAGUGGGGAUCGAUUGAUGAGACGAGCCAUGCAAUUAGAUUAUUAUUAUUAUUAUUAUUAUUAUUAUAACUUGUUCCCAAACUUGUUCAAGCUGACAAUAAUAAUUGUGGGUUUAGUCGCUGUCACCGGUGAAAAAUUUGCCGCUCAAAACAGUCGGCACAAUUUUGGCUCUUCCUCUUUUUGAUGAAAAUGUACUUUGACGUUCGCAGUUUCCUAAAAGAAGAUCUUUUUGUUUGUAGAAAAGAAAAAAAAAAAAUUGCCAUCUUUAAGUGAUUCGAUUCAUACUACAAGUCUACAAUUAAUUAUUAUUUAAAUAAAACACUGGUACUAAUCUUAUCUAAAUAAAUACUAUGAGACAGAGACUUGAAACUCAGAGAAAAGAGAGACGCUUAUCACUUGAUGAAUGAUUGGUCUCGUGCAAUUUUCAAAAGUUCAAGAAAACUAUCAUAUUAACAAAUAUUUACUGUAAAUUACAGUUUCUAAAAAAAAUAUAUAAUUAUAAAAUAAAAAUUAAUACGAAUUAACCACUCGGGCUUAGCCCAAGUGGCUAAAGCCACUCACUCACAAAUGUGAGGGAAGGGGUUCGAGCCUCUGCAGACGUAUUGUAGGGGUUUCAUUUAAAUGUCCUUCCUUGAGCUCAAGAGCUUGAGUGAAGACAGUAUUUCUCCCAGACUGGGAGUUUGACAUCCCUCGAAUAUUUGAAAGGGUUAAAAAUUUGAGCGGUGCCAUAUCAGUAUAAAUGUCAACAGAUCUCAGUAUAUAUAUAUAUAUGAUUGUACAUAUUAGUUAUACUCUCAUGUAAUAUGAGUUGUAAUUUAAGCAAUAGUCUCAUGUCAUCGAAAAUUAAUACGAAUUGAAAUUUAAUACCAUAGGAGUGUUAAUGUAUUAAAAUAAAAAAAAAGAUUAUUGAUUACCGGUGGAUUACAAACUCUUCUUCAUAAGUACAGUCGAUAAUCUUGCUUAGUUAAUUGUUGGAAUUAAUCUUUAAAUUUAAAAAUAAAUUAUUUUCAAUAAAAUAGUAAAAUAAUAAAAAAAGAGAAAGAAAGAAAAAAAAUCUUUGAAAGCCACCAACUACAAUUCAAUACAUUUGUGUUGAAAAUCUCUAGUUCUCAAUGAAUCCUAAAUUUAAAACUUCAUUAUAAGUUAAGUUCUACAACAUAAACGAAAUUUUCUGAUAGCUACCAACUAAAAACUUAGAAAAUUUUAAAAUUUUUCUACGGAGAGUGAAGAUGAAAUGAAAAAGCGUUAUAUUAAUUAUAUUAUAUUGGUUCUCAAACUACUACUACACUAUUAUUUUAUUUUGAUUUGAACGGGGGAGGGAAGUUCUCAUUAAUACAGAAUUCAAUUAAUCGAAACAAGUUUCGAGCCAAUUGUACAGCGACAUGAUACAAACUCAUUAUAAUAUUACAAGUUGGACAAAACAAAACAAAACAAACGAAAUAUAAUUAAUUAAUGCCUAAUUUUAUAUAUAUGUGUCUGAUCUCAACAGAUUAAACAAGUAAUCAAAAGUAUGAAUUAGCCCAUAACAUAAAAUUAUUGAACAACUUUGAUUAUACAUUACAAAACAAAAACUAUGCCAAACAGUCAGUUGAUUAUUAAUUAAUGAACAAAAAAAUUGUGGUAUUAAAUAUUAAUUAGCCCACAAAAAAGAAAAAGGGGUUGUCGCAGCAGCACUCAUCAAUGAGACAGCAGCAACACAAAGCCGCAAGGCUGCAAAUUGAUAAUCAAACAUAUUAAAUUUUAACCCAAUUUUUAUCUAAGAAAUUUUGAACAUUAAUUAAUGAAAGUAAGAAAAAGGAAUCGAAGAGUAACUAAUAAAGUGUUAUAAUUAAGUACACAUACCAUGCCUCAAGGCAACCUCUGUUGCUUCACUGGAGGAGGGCCGUGAUAACGAUCACCUCCUACAAAUUCAAAUUCAUUCAUGUAUAUUAUUUCAAGCAAAUCAGACUGUUUUAACACGAUUUACUGUUCUUAAUUGCAAACGUCUGCAUGUUUUAAGAGGUGAAUUGAAAUAAAUAUAAUAAUAAUGUGUACAAAACGAUAAACAACAAUAUAUAGAUUAAAUUAUAUAUUUUAAAAUGUACAAACGACCGAGUAUUUUUUUAAUUUUAAUUUUAAUUUUUAUAGUUAGUACGUACCUUGAGGAUGGUAUGGAUACGCAUACUUGGGUUCAUACAUAAUUAAUUUGAUGAAGAGGAGGAGGCCGGCACCCAGCAAGAAUCGAUGGUGAGCUGUUGAAUUUCUUGAGGGAUUGGGAAAUGUUUUAAUUAGCUAAAAGCUGCAAAGUGUAAGAACGAAGAGACUUUGCUGUAUUGUUGUUGAUGAUAAUGAUGUACGGGUGACAAAUUAUUAAUUUAAUUUGUUGCUGGAUUUCUCUGGUAAAAG
rnacentral:lncRNA from 1 species